AAAAAAAAUAAGACAACUAAAAAUAUUCAACUUUCUGUUUUUCAGACUUUCCUUUUCCAGAAGAGUCGGGGCAUGGGACCCAGGCUGGGCCAACACAGGGGCCAGUAUCAGACUAAGUGGAACUCUCAGGAAUGUCCCUAUCUAAGGUGACAUGUCCCAAGGAGAGGAUGUGCACCACAUGGAAAAAGUCAACUGGAAGAGUUUACCUUUGAAG
rnacentral:lncRNA from 1 species